rnacentral:rRNA from 1 species
GAUGAACGCUGGCGGCGUGCCUAACACAUGCAAGUCGAACGAAAAGGCCCGGCGCUUGCUGCUCUGACGUUAGCGGAGGACGGGUGAGUCACGCGUGUAUACCCUCCCUAUCUGUCUGGGAUCACUUCGGGACACCGGCUCAAAUCCCGGAUAAUCUCUUGCUCCGCGUGGUUCAAUAGUGAAAGUCGGUGUUGCUGGCACUUCUCGCUGCUUCCGCGCUGCAUUGGCUAGUUGCUACGGUAACGGCUUACCACGGCAACCAUGCGUAGCCGACCGGAGAGAGUGAUCGGCGACACUGGAGCGGGAACACGGACCAGACUCCUACGGGAGGCAGCAGUAGGGAAUCGGCCGCAAUGGGCGGAAGCCUGACGGAACAACGCCGCGUGAGAGAUGAAGGUCCUCGGAUCGUGAAGCUCUGUUAUGGGGGAAGAACAGAUGUGGAAUGAGCUGAGCACUGCUUGACGGUACCGAGUCAGAAAGCCACGGCUAACUACGUG